rnacentral:rRNA from 1 species
AACGAACGCUGGCGGCAGGCUUAACACAUGCAAGUCGAACGGGCACCUUCGGGUGUCAGUGGCAGACGGGUGAGUAACGCGUGGGAACGUACCCUUCGGUUCGGAAUAACCCAGGGAAACUUGGGCUAACACCGGAUACGCCCGCAAGGAGAAAGAUUUAUCGCCGAAGGAUCGGCCCGCGUCGGAUUAGCUAGUUGGUGGGGUAAUGGCCCACCAAGGCGACGAUCCGUAGCUGGUCUGAGAGGAUGANCAGCCACACUGGGACUGAGACACGGCCCAGACUCCUACGGGAGGCAGCAGUGGGGAAUAUUGGACAAUGGGCGAAAGCCUGAUCCAGCCAUGCCGCGUGAGUGAAGAAGGCCUUAGGGUUGUAAAGCUCUUUCAGCGGGAAGAUAAUGACGGUACCCGCAGAAGAAGUCCCGGCUAACUUCGUGCCAGCAGCCGCGGUAAU